UACGUAGGGUGCAAGCGUUGUCCGGAUUUAUUGGGUUUAAAGGGUGCGUAGGCGGUCUAUUAAGUCAGUGUUUAAAUUUUGCAGCUUAACUGUAGGUAUGGCAUUGAUACUGAUGGACUUGAAUAUUAGAGAGGUAGCUGGAAUUUAUGGUGUAGCGGUGAAAUGCAUAGAUACCAUAAGGAACACCGAUAGCGGAGGCAGGUUACCAUCUGAUUAUUGACGCUGAGGCACGAAAGUGUGGGGAUCAAACAGG
rnacentral:rRNA from 1 species